GAUGAAGAACGUAGCGAAAUGCGAUACGUAAUGUGAAUUGCAGAAUUCAGUGAAUCAUCGUAUCUUUGAACGCACAUUGCGCCCGCCAGCACUCUGGCGGGCAUGCCUGUUCGAGCGUCAUUUCAACCAUCAAGCCCCAGGCUUGCGUUGGAGCCCUGCGGCUGCCGCAGCCUCCUAAAAGCAGUGGCGGGCUCGCUAUCACACCGAGUGCAGUAGAUUACUCUUCGCUCAGGGCGUGCAGCGGGUUCCGGCCGUGAAACCCCCUACUUUUAAAGGUUGACCUCGGAUCAGGUAGGAAUACCCGCUGAACUUAAGCAUAUCAAUAAGCGGAGGA
rnacentral:misc_RNA from 1 species